AGAGUUUGAUCCUGGCUCAGGACGAACGCUGGCGGCGUGCUUAACACAUGCAAGUCGAGCGCGAAAGGGUCCUUCGGGACCCUGGAGAGCGGCGAACGGGUGAGUAACACGUGGGUAACCUGCCCUAAGGACUGGGAUAACUCCGGGAAACCGGGGCUAAUACCGGACGUUCUUGCACCUCGCAAGUGGUGCAAGCAAAGGUAGCUUCGGCUUCCGCCUUAGGAUGGGCCCGCGGCCUAUCAGCUUGUUGGUGAGGUAAUGGCUCACCAAGGCGACGACGGGUAGCUGGUCUGAGAGGACGAUCAGCCACACUGGGACUGAGACACGGCCCAGACUCCUACGGGAGGCAGCAGUGGGGAAUCUUGCGCAAUGGGCGAAAGCCUGACGCAGCAACGCCGCGUGGAGGAAGAAGGCCUUCGGGUCGUAAACUCCUGUCAGGGGGAAAGAAGGCACCUGGGUUAAUAGCCCAAGGGCUGACGGUACCCCCAAAGGAAGCCACGGCUAACUACGUGCCAGCAGCCGCGGUAAUACGUAGGUGGCGAGCGUUGUCCGGAAUUAUUGGGCGUAAAGAGCGCGUAGGCGGCUUGUCAGGUCUGAUGUGAAACCUUGGGGCUCAACCCCAAGCGUGCAUCGGAAACCGGCUUGCUAGAGUCUGGGAGAGGAGAGUGGAAUUCCUGGUGUAGCGGUGAAAUGCGUAGAUAUCAGGAGGAACACCAGUUGCGAAGGCGGCUCUCUGGAACAGUACUGACGCUGAGGCGCGAAAGCUAGGGGAGCAAACAGGAUUAGAUACCCUGGUAGUCC
rnacentral:rRNA from 1 species